UCAACCCUCAAGCCCUGCUUGCUGUUGGACCCCUCGACGAAAGUUGACGGCCCCAAAGAUAACGACGGUGUUGUGACAACCCCCAGACGCAAUGAGCUUUAACACGCACGCGUCACGGCGGUGUCGUAACCCAGUCUUCAAACAAUUAUUCCAAG
rnacentral:misc_RNA from 1 species